AUAUUUCUGAACUGAGUCUAGUUCCUUCGAUAUCAAUGCAAUCUAGUAAUCAUGAAUUUUGUUCUGUGUUGGUGUUACAAUGAUAUCAAAGGAACUAGACUCAGUUCCAAAAUAU